rnacentral:rRNA from 1 species
UACAGAGGAGCCAAGCGUUGUCCGGAUUGACUGGGCGUAAAGCGCACGCAGGCGGACGCGCGCGUGGGGUGUGAAAUCUGGCCGCUUAACGGCCAGGGGCCAUCCCAUACGGCGCGUCUGGAGCGAUGCAGAGGUCGGUGGAAUUGCCGGUGUAGUGGUGAAAUGCGUAGAGAUCGGCAGGAACACCCAGGGGGAAACCAGCCGACUGGGCAUCUGCUGACGCUGAGGUGCGAGAGCGUGGGGAGCGAACAGG